rnacentral:rRNA from 1 species
AUUGAACGCUGGCGGCAUGCCUUACACAUGCAAGUCGAACGGCAGCACGGGAGCAAUCCUGGUGGCGAGUGGCGAACGGGUGAGUAAUAUAUCGGAACGUGCCCGGUCGUGGGGAUAACGUAGCGAAAGCUACGCUAAUACCGCAUACGAUCUACGGGUGAAAGCGGGGGAUCGCAAGACCUCGCGCGAUUGGAGCGGCCGAUAUCAGAUUAGGUAGUUGGUGAGGUAAAGGCUCACCAAGCCGACGAUCUGUAGCUGGUCUGAGAGGACGACCAGCCACACUGGGACUGAGACACGGCCCAGACUCCUACGGGAGGCAGCAGUGGGGAAUUUUUGGACAAUGGGCGCAAGCCUGAUCCAGCAAUGCCGCGUGCAGGAUGAAGGCCU